AUAAGACGUGAUUUUCGCUAAGCGAAGAUUUUCUGGAAUUUUUGAUUACAAACAAUCGAUACAGCUACAGAAAUGAACAGUCAGAGUCAUAAAAGGAAGAGAGUGGAUGUUCAGUUUGCCAACCCGGAAGCUGCCUCGAGUAUUUACAAGAGGCUGGGAGUGGACAUCUUGACCACGCCCACCACUUCCGGGAGAGAUGUGGAGGUCUCAGUUUUGUUUUAUAUGUAAUAAACAUUGGUAUAAAACGAUGUUGGGCCACCAAGAAAGCGUUAUAUUCAGGCUUCCAAUCAAGCAGUAUUUCAAAACACAGGACCCAAUCGUACAAGUGGCAGAGUGGUGACAAAUGGGGUGGCAAAACCUCUGUUGAGCAAUGAACAAAUACAACAAUUCAUAACGUCCACAGUUCUUCCUAAUGGUCGCUCAGUCACCAGCACUGAGACAGUGAACCCUAAUGUCACCAAUUGUACCGUGUAUCCUUCUCAACCUGGGACUAGGAUACAACAACAGACUGAUUUCACAAAUGUGCAACCACAACUGACUUUGAAUGAGCUGAGAUCUGGACAGACCCUACCAUGGGUGUCCAUCCAGCAGCAAUCUCAGGAGACCAAGCAACAGCUAGCCAUAAACAGCCAGGGACACAUUCAUCCCUCAGACCAGACUACUUUUGCUGUCCAAAUUUUAAACCCGACUUUGACACAAGCAGAGCUCCAACAGCCAAUCUU